rnacentral:rRNA from 1 species
UACGGAGGGUGCAAGCGUUAAUCGGAAUUACUGGGCGUAAAGCGCGCGUAGGCGGUUUUUUAAGUCGGAUGUGAAAGCCCCGGGCUCAACCUGGGAACUGCAUCCGAUACUGGAAGACUAGAACGCGGGAGAGGGAGGUAGAAUUCCAUGUGUAGCAGUGAAAUGCGUAGAUAUAUGGAGGAAUACCAGUGGCGAAGGCGGCCUCCUGGCUCGACAUUGACGCUGAGGUGCGAAAGCGUGGGGAGCAAACGGG